rnacentral:lncRNA from 1 species
CUCAGCUGAAGUAUCCCACGCUGCCCAGAGAGGAGCAAGGCGACUGAGGCUAGGUGUGGGAUGGCGAGGGCCAGCUGGCCAGCCGGGGCUGCUGAGGGAUUUGGAGUGGCGACAACGGGCAGCCACUGCCAGGCACCGCGUGGACAUGCCAGCUGUUGCCCGACACCUGCUAUCACGCCACAGAGAUGGGCGGACCAGAAACCCAGUGUCAUCACUCGGGUCUGUAACUGCCAUUUUCCGCUGGGAAAGAGAAAUGAACCUGUACUUACCAGAAAAGGUAGCUCAUCCACCAUGGCAGAAGAGGCAGACCCAGACUGUUGAUUCGAAAACAAUAACAAAACAUUUGGCAUGAGGAUUGGGUGUUGAGGGACCACUUGUCACAUUGUCCAAGUCCAACAGGAGUGCAUCCCUAAGGCCAUCCAGCGCAUGGACAUCCUGUGUCAGUGUGAUCCGACUGCGAGCGUCCAGUUGUGGAGACUACAGCACAUCGAGCCUGCGGACGGACAGAACGUCAGGCUCACCUCACAAGAAGCAGUGCAUGAUCAACGCCACCCUCAGCGAGGAGAUCUGCUGGAAGUGAUGUACUCUCUCGCUCUCUCUCUCUUAUCGGGGUAAGACAUAACUUAAACAUCACAGGUAUAAAUUCCCACUGUGCCCAUGAUAAAAUGCAAUGUAAACUGUGUUGUACUACUGAAUGAAACUGUGAGGAGAUGCAUUCAGACCAGCCUGUGAUUGAACUAACGUUGGAUAUAUUACUUUAGUUGGCUGCUUUGAGCAAGACUUGAAUGUAAUAUAACAUUUUCUAGGAGCCUAUUGUUUGUGUAUGAUCUUUAUUCAGUGUUUACUUGUUUUUAAACAAUGUCAGGUAGAGGCAGGGAUGACUAGUGUCUUCAGUAUACAUUUUUUAGACAGGUUAAAUGUUAUAUCAUAUUGUAUCAUAGCCAACAUACAAUUGAAUAUAGCGUAGGGUCAGACACUCUUUUGAGUAUUAUUUUGUUCCACUCACCUCUCUUUCUAAUCUGAAUUAACAAUACUCACCAUUUACAUUUUUUACUGCCUUUAAAUGAGUCAGUUGAGACAGUGUUUCAAGAAGCUAACGUUUGGCUGCAAAUGUGAAUACAUGUCCAAUAAAUAGUAAUAUAUAAUAAUAUGUAAUAUAUUUACAAUUGCUCCAUACUAUGUGAUAAUGCCAAUGUCACAUAUAAAUAUCUAUGAGUCCAUUGAUUAUCAUUGUCUCAACUUGUUCCUUUUCCUUAAUUCAUCAUAUCUUAAAUUACUUAACUUUUGGCCUUAAUUUUUUCUAUGCAAUUUUUAUGAAAUGUGACAUAUUCUUGACAUUAACUAUAUUCUACACCUUUUCUUAUUGUUACAGAUCGUGGUGAAGGAUUUGCACCCUGUGAUGUGAUCGCAUGCACACUGUGUAGAGAACACUCUACAAAGGCCUCCAAGGGGAACUGCCUAACCUGUCUGUCCUGAAUGCGUCCGAGGUAUACAAGGACUUUCCCAUUGAUCACCACAAUGCAGUGUACACCACAAUGUACUUAGGCUGAUCUACGAUCCCAUUGAGAGCCCACUGUUUGGCCUACUGGAGAUCAUGUGUCCAAACUCCAAGAGUUACGUUGACUGCCCCUACCUGAAAGCUCCAGUGUGGCAAACUGGAGCUAAAGCCACAGCGCACCUACUACUGGCCGGUACAAGGUCAGAUGCUAAUAACAUGGCUGGAGUGGUGCGACUUCGUUGAAGAGGGCAUGCUAAUCCAGCGCAUCUACAAAGGCAGUGGGGUGGCAAACACCAUCAGGCAAAAGGCAGACCAUUUCUUUUUUCAUUUUUGUCUCGAUAUCUACAUGAAAUGAUUUACUUCAAACAUGGCUAUGCCUGAGGGAUGUACAGGGAAACUUGUUUUGAUGUACAAUUUUGGAGUGAAUCCUAUUUUCAUUCAUGUUCGUUCAUCAUUGAUGUUGACUGCUUAAACAUGUUAAACUGAUGUCUUUACUCAUUGAACACAUUGUGGAGCAUACAGGUUACUUGUGUGUUCCAAUUUUUCUAAACUGGUUGCCAGGUGAAGAGGUGUGACACAAGGGAUAAUGCAACUGUCAUGUCUGCUCCCGCUCUUCCCUCCCCCUGGCGCUUGAGGGCGCAAGGUUUCCCUGCAUCACGCACUCCUGCCAUCCAUCAUGCACACCUGCCUUCCCUCGUCACGCACAUCAGCGUUAUUGGACUCACCUGGACUCACUUAUCACCUGUUAAUUACCUCCCCUAUAUUUGUCAGUUCCCCAGCUCUGUUCCCCGCUGCUGCAUUGUGUUGUUUUU